CCUACGGGUGGCAGCAGUGAGGAAUAUUGGUCAAUGGGCGAGAGCCUGAACCAGCCAAGUCGCGUGAGGGAGUACUGCCCUAUGGGUUGUAAACCUCUUUUGUCGGGGAGCAAAAGCCGGACGUGUCCGGCUGUGAGAGUACCCGAAGAAAAACCAUCGGCUAACUCCGUGCCAGCAGCCGCGGUAAUACGGAGGAUGCGAGCGUUAUCCGGAUUUACUGGGUUUAAAGGGUGCGCAGGCGGAUUUUUACGUCAGCGGUCAAAUCGUGGGGCUCAACCCCAUCCAGCCGUUGAAACUGGGGGUCUAGAGUGGGGGAGAGGUAUGCGGAAUGCGUGGUGUAGCGGUGAAAUGCAUAGAUAUCACGCAGAACCCCGAUUGCGAAGGCAGCAUACCGGUGCACAACUGACGCUCAGGCACGAAAGCGUGGGUAUCGAACAGGAUUAGAUACCCGUGUAGUC
rnacentral:rRNA from 1 species